rnacentral:rRNA from 1 species
UACCAGCACCCCGAGUGGUCGGUACGAUUAUUGGGUCUAAAGCAUCCGUAGCCGGUUCUGCAAGUCCCCCGUUAAAUCCAGCUGCUCAACAGAUGGGCCGCGGAGGAUACUACAGAGCUAGGAGGCAGGAGAGGCAAGCGGUACUCAGUGGGUAGGGGUAAAAUCCGUUGAUCCAUUGAAGACCACCAGUGGCGAAGGCGGCUUGCCAGAAUGCGCUCGACGGUGAGGGAUGAAAGCUGGGGGAGCAAACCGG